UAUUAUAAAUAUAUGUAUGAAAGGAUUAACAAUGUUCAUGAAGAUCUUGAGUAUGAGCAUAGAUAAUUACGAUGGAAACAUGAUUUGAUGAUUGAUAGAUAUAAAGGGUUGAAGGUUGAUGGAUGACUACAGUGAGCUGGAAAGGGAGAUUAAGAAGUAUAGAAAAAUGUUUCGGCAAAUUUAAAAUUAUUGAUUGGUG
rnacentral:lncRNA from 1 species